UUGGUUGUCAUGACAACCUCCUUGCUGUAGGGCUUUGUAACUAUGUGAGGGGUUGCAGGGAUGAAUCUGUGGCAGCCUUUGGGAGUCAGUCCUGAGCUUGAAGGACCCCUCACCCCAACUCCUGGGGACAGUGCUUCCUCUGCUCUCAUUGGUUACGAGGAGUUGGAAAGCAGAAGAGUAGAGCAGAAGUUCUCUGCUGCUGAGGACUGGCAUUGGGGGUGGUGAGGACGGAGCUUGGGCUUCACACAUCACUGGACAGAUCAGAGAAAACAAGAAGAGCGAGGUCAGCAGUCUGAAGCUACGUCACAGUCAUUCAAUCUGUGCUCCCUGUGUACCUUCAUACCGUCCACAAGGCUCCUCACCAUCUCCGUCUGGGCUGCUAUCUCUUCCAUCAACAGGUAUGUCAUCCUGGUGCAACCAUGAUGAGAUCAGGAAAAGGAGGAAUAUAGCCAGAAGCAGAGAAAUGCUGCCGCUGAGCGGGUCUACUCUCAUUGCUGCCAAGACAGAAAAUUCUGCCCAGAUUUGGGCUACUGUAUGUCCACUUGGGGAACCAGGGAGACUCACCCCAUAUUGAGCGGAGAGCGAUGGACAAUGGUUUACCACUAGUCAAGUGAAGCUGGUAAAGACCAACACCAUGGCUAUUGAGAGGACCACGGGAUACGAUGCUUGUAAUUCAUGAAACACAGUAUGGCAGUCACUCCAGGACCAUGGAAAUCAGAGAAUUACACAGGGCAUCUGUGUAAAUGUCACAGGCUAUUUUACCAUGGUUAUCAACUGGGAGACAUACAUGAUUCCAGGGGGCCACCUGCAAGCUAAGUCCAUGGGACAGUGUACAGAGACAUUUUGUUGCAAAGACAAAAAAAGAUAACGCUACACAUCACUGCAUGCUCAACUGACCCAUAGAAACACAUGGUUAAAAAAAUAAAAGAAACAGUUGGAAAGAAGAAUGAAAGGCAAGGAGUUUGAUGUAUCCACAGCAGGACCUUGCUUUGAAGUUGAACAUCCAGUAUAGC
rnacentral:lncRNA from 1 species